GCCAGAUCAGGCUGACUGUCCUUCAGCUCGUUGAGCUUCUUAAUCAGAGCAUGUCUGUAAGAGAGAGAUCAACGCUGAGACUUGGUGAUUUUGGCAACAAUGAGAAAUUUAUUUCCCGAACAAGCAGCUAAGCCAAGCAGUUACAGACAGGAGGCAUGGAGAAGAAUGACUUCCCUCAGGGCCCAAAGAAAAAUCUGUGGCAGAAGAUCCCCAAGCAACCACCACCUUUUUUCCCCGGAUCACUACCUCCAUGGAUCUCCUGUACUCAGUCACCCAAACACAGAAUAUCCACCUUAACUCCAGUGACUCGAGAGCCCAAGGCAUUCCUCAUCCAGGCCAUCAGAUCCUCAGCCUCCUUCUCCGUCAGACGUUCUCCAGCUGGCAGGGAGAGAGGGCACAUCCGAGUGUGCAUCUACAGUGUGCAGUGGACAGUGAGCUGAGCUGAGCUCAGCCCAUUUCACACUUCCAUUUAUCAAUUCUCUUGUGUGAAUGGGAAGGCAGCACCACUCAGCACACAGCUACAUAUCCUCAUCCCAGACCAUGCCAUACCCAGGGAGGGAGGGUUCAUGCCCUGCCAGGGCCCACCUGCCUCUAUCAGGGCACCAGAUUUACGUUGUGGGGUUAAAAUCAAAUCAUGGCAAUGCCACACAUGACAUUCCAUCUGUUUAAAUUUGCUUGAACUUCGAUCAUGUGGGAUGAAAAGGAUCUGCAAGAACUCCAAGUUGCCUCAGAGCACAAGAAUGGCAGGGUGGAAAGGAGGGCUCUUGCUCAGGAGCUAGAGGAGCAGGGGUAGAGGUGUCCCCUCACUGGUGGCACAGGGUGGCUGCAGGAUGGGCCAGGGGAGCCUCACCUGGGCGGCUCUCCUCAAACUUCUCUUCCUUAUAGUGAUCAACAACAAUGUCUGUCUCCACAGAGAUCAGCUUCUUCUUGUCAAACUCACGGAGGUGCAACAGUGUCAGCUCAUCAAACUGCUCAUAGCAGAACAGCACCUGUGCCAAAAAAGGGACAGCAACACAUUGUUUGGGAUGUAACAGCAUUCCCUGCUUCCCAAGGCAACUCUGCACCAAACAGCAGGAAUGUCACAUGGGAAACUCACAGGUUCAACCCCAUGGUGAUUAUCACUCAGGGCCCCCCAUGAAAGCAAACCCUUGGAGUGAUUUAUUAACAUGGGUGGCAGGUCUGCACCUGAACAAGUCCAGAACCACCACUGACCCCAGUCCUGAAAGGGGCACGUGCCCACAGAGGUCACCUGAAACACCAUUACAGCCCUGCACAGCAGCUCCCGGGCUCCUGCUCUGGGAUUCAGCACAGGUAUGAAACAGGUGUCAGAACUAGAUGUUUGCACAAGUACUAAAUCACAAAAUAUGCUGAGUUGGAAAGGACCCAUCAGGAUCAUGGAGUCCAACUCCUGGCCCUGCACAGGACACCCCAAGAAUCCCACAAAUGUGCCUGAGAGCAUUGUCCAAAUGCUUCUUGAACUCAGACAGGCUUGGUGCUGUGACCACUGCCCCGGGGAGCCUGUUCCGGUGCUCGACCACCCCUGGGUGAAAAACCUUUUCCUGAUUUCCAGCCUAAACCUCCUGACUCAGCUUCAUGCUGUUUCCUUCAGUCCUGUCAAUGGCCACGAGAGUGAAGAGAUUGGUGCUGCCCCUCAGGAGGAUGUCAAAGACACCAGUGAGGUCUGACCUGUCUCCUCCAGGCUGAACAAACCAAGCGCCCUCAGCUGCUCCUCAUACGGCUUCCCCUCCAGACCCUUCACCAUCCUUGUGGCCUCCUUUGGAUGCUCUCUAGGAGCUUAAUGUCUUUCCUGUAUUGUGGUUAGAGUGUGUGACAGGUCCCUCCUGGCCUCACACCGUGGUCUGAGCAGAGAGAGUGGGUGCCCUGCAAAGGCCCCGCACUGGCAGAGCUCCAUCACCGGCCUCGCUGCCCUGCUCAGCUCCGAGCGCCAGCCCUGACCACUGCUGCAGCAGCUCAGUGGUGUUCCCCUGGCCAUGGCACCGCUGCUCACCCACCUCCAUGUCCUUCUUCUUCAUGGCCUCGAAGUAGGGGGAGUGCUCGGCCAGGUGGCGGUUGGGGGCACACAGGUAGUAGAUGUUCCUGCUCCCGGCCUUCAUGCGCGAGGCGUAGUCGGCCAGGCUGGUCAACUGCCCCGCGGGCAGCGCCGACGACUCGUAACGCAGCAGCUUGGCUAUGUCCUCCUGCAGGAAACAUGCUCCCGUGAGCUCAGGGCACCUCACUGGACCUCCACCUGACCGCUCCCAGCCCCAGGAAUUCCUGUUGUAGCACACAGGCCUCUUUUGCAGCUCUGCAAAAAGACUCAGGGGAUUCUGAAUCUCUGCUCCAGAUAUUAAGGAGGCAGAAGAGUGACCUAGACAGGAUGUAGGUCAAACUCUCCUAAAAAUGGGAAUGCAGGCAGAGGACAACAGGAGGGGAAAGCCCUACUUUUCUUGCAUGUUGUAGUUCAUGUUGCAUCAGGGAGGGGUGACAACAGUGUGGAUAUAGAGACUCUGCAGGGUCUCAAAGUGGGAAGCAGCGCCCAGUGAGAAAAAAGGAGAGUUUGGGCACUACAGAAUCAGUAUGUCUGGGUAGACCCAGGAACACAAGUUAUAGGCAUGCAGGUUUCAUGGAGAAGUAGCAGUGCCCCUCAUCCCAGCUCACAGUAGGAACCAGCAAUCUUUCCCAUCAGCUGUGGUGCUUCAGGACUCCUGGUACCUUGACAUCCUGCUCUGCAAUUGUGACAAUCCCCUCUCUCAUGAAUACCCCGUACUCCUCAAAGAAUUUGGCAUAUUUCUCAGGGUCCUUCUUGCUCUGGUCAAUGAAGAACUUGAUCA